rnacentral:rRNA from 1 species
UCGCGGCCUAUCAGCUUGUUGGUGAGGUAAUGGCUCACCAAGGCAUCGACGGGUAGCUGGUCUGAGAGGACGAUCAGCCACACUGGGACUGAGACACGGCCCAGACUCCUACGGGAGGCAGCAGUAGGGAAUCUUGCGCAAUGGGCGAAAGCCUGACGCAGCAAUGCCGCGUGCGGGACGAAGGCCCUAGGGUCGUAAACCGCUUUCAGUAGGGACGAAAAUGACGGUACCUGCAGAAGAAGCUCCGGCCAACUACGUGCCAGCAGCCGCGGUGAUACGUAGGGAGCAAGCGUUGUCCGGAAUUACUGGGCGUAAAGGGCUCGUAGGUGGUUGAGUAAGUCAGAUGUGAAAUCUCAGGGCCCAACCCUGAGCCUGCACUUGAUACUGCUCUGACUAGAGUCCGGUAGGGGAGUGCGGAACUCCUGGUGUAGCGGUGAAAUGCGCAGAUAUCAGGAAGAACACCGACAGCGAAGGCAGCACUCUGGGCCGGUACUGACACUAAGGAGCGAAAGCAUGGGUAGCAAACAGGAUUAGAUACCCUGGUAGUCCAUGCCGUAAACGUUGGGCACUAGGUGUGGGGAGAACUCAACUCUCUCCGCGCCGUAGCUAACGCAUUAAGUGCCCCGCCUGGGGAGUACGG